UAUGUAGGGGAGCUAAUUUGCUGAGAGGAGAUAAAUAAAUCUCGACCCUUAACCUGAUUUGGAUAAUGCCAACGUAGGGAAAGUAUUAAUUAU
rnacentral:ncRNA from 1 species